GAUGAACGCUGGCGGCGUGCCUAAUACAUGCAAGUCGAGCGAACAGAUGAGGAGCUUGCUCCUCUGACGUUAGCGGCGGACGGGUGAGUAACACGUGGAUAACCUACCUAUAAGACUGGGAUAACUUCGGGAAACCGGAGCUACUACCGGAUAAUAUAUUGAACCGCAUGGUUCAAUAGUGAAAGACGGUUUUGCUGUCACUUAUAGAUGGAUCCGCGCCGCAUUAGCUAGUUGGUAAGGUAACGGCUUACCAAGGCAACGAUGCGUAGCCGACCUGAGAGGGUGAUCGGCCACACUGGAACUGAGACACGGUCCAGACUCCUACGGGAGGCAGCAGUAGGGAAUCUUCCGCAAUGGGCGAAAGCUUGACGGAGCAACGCCGCGUGAGUGAUGAAGGUCUUCGGAUCGUAAAACUCUGUUAUUAGGGAAGAACAAAUGUGGAAGUAACUAUGCACGUCUUGACGGUACCUAAUCAGAAAGCCACGGCUAACUACGUG
rnacentral:rRNA from 1 species